GCAGUGGCGGUUCAGUGGUAGAGUUCUUGCUUUCCACGCAGGAGACCUGGGCUCCAUUCCCAGCCCAUGCA
rnacentral:tRNA from 1 species